rnacentral:misc_RNA from 1 species
UUUGGUCUGGUCAGCAUCUCUUUUUGUUUCGAAUGCACGGUGCCGGCCACACGGGAUUCCUUCAUGCUGUCGACUUCCAUGUCAACACAUAGCGCAUGUGCUACACAAAUCAAGAAAAAAGAGUGCACAAACUGCAACAGAAGGUUCAGCACAAAGUGUUGCUACAGCAGCAACAACUGUGCCUGCUACUGAGUCUGCUGCCACCUCGUAUUCUGCAGCCACACCAACUAAAUGUGCUGCCUCUUCUGGUCCUGCAGCCUUAGCAGUCACACUGCCUUCUGCCUCUGAUGCUGACAUGUGCAGUGUUCAUUCAGCCAGGAUGAACAGGUUGACCAGCCUAACGGUUGGAUGCUCUCAAGGGCUGCCUCAAAAAAGGACUUUCAUUUGGUUCAGCGGUCCACCAUCGCAAUAUGGUGGACAGAUGCCCGCGUGCAUCGGAGCUUCCUGGGAACGAACCAUUUUGCAGCAGAAGGUGGCCAGAAGCCUGCACAGCAGCCAUUGUCCCCACACAAAGUGGAAGCAUAGAGAGUCUCUUCCAGGCACUACAGUGCUGCCCAAAGCCCUUCGGAAGAGGAAGCGAAACAGGCCGGCCAGAACACCAGGCUUCUGGCUGUCCCAGAAGACAUCCAAGUUGAGGCGAGGGCAGAAAAAAUAAACAGAGAAGUCAUUUUCAUUUCCAAA